GCACCAGUGGUCUAGUGGUAGAAUAGUAUCCUGCCACGGUACAGACCUGGGUUUGAUUCCCCGCAUAAUCA
rnacentral:tRNA from 1 species